GACGGACUCGAAGCUACCUGAUCAACAGGCCGGUCACGAAAAAGGAACGACCGUUACUUUGGCGGCUCAAGCGGGUGCCAACGUGGUGUUUGAAUC
rnacentral:ncRNA from 1 species